rnacentral:lncRNA from 1 species
GACCUGCCACCCAACACUGGACAGGUGUUUUUCUACUGAUCCUGCUGUAUGUUGCAUUUGGAGCUUGACUUUUCUGCUGUCACAGACUUGAACUCCAGAGCAUCUGUGCCCACAGCACAUCCAUGCUGUGUACUACUCUGCAGCGUGAAUACACCUGCCCACCUUCUACCGGCGUACUUUGGGGCAUCUCUGGCAUUUGCACAAUCUGUGUCCUGGGGUACGUUGGGCUUUGGAGCCUGUGGAUGUUGAACUUUACAAAUGAGCCUAAUUUUUUCCAAAACAACUGCUCAAAUUUACCCUUCAUAUAUAACAGGAGGUCCUAAAGACCCCAGUCCCAUCCAUCACUCAGUGUGACUGUGGGAUCUAAGAUGAAGUUGCCCUGCACCUGGAGACCCAGGUGAACUUUACAAAUGAGCCCAAAUUUUUCCAAAGCAACUGCUCAAAUUUACCCUUCAUACAGAACAGGAAGUCCUAAAGACUCCACUCCCAUCCAUCACUCAGUGUGACUGUCGGAUCUAAGAUGGAGUUGCCCUGCACCUGGAGACCCACAGUGGGGUCUCCUCAUUUGGCUUCCUGAUCCCUGCCAAGGCUGAGCCCCUCUGGGGUGCUAUCAGGCAUCCAGCUUCUCUCUUAUGUGAGAUGCCUGCUCAUUUAUUUCGCCAUUUGCUACUGGGUUGUAUGUCAUUUUCUCACUGAUCUGCAAAUGCUCUUUAUAUAUGCAGGCUACUAAUCCUUUGUCAAUUAUUAAUAUUUAUGAUGAGA